AACGUGUGCUACGGUUAAUGUCGGACAUUUCCCAUGGGGAAAACUGGGCCUGAGGGGGAAACGACGGGGAGCAGAGAGGUUCAUAGGGGUCACGGAGGUCACCCCUCACUUCGCUGGCUCCGUCCACACACACCGUGAAAUAUUUCAGGGACCCCCUGCCUGUUUUAUCCACACUGCAAAAACACCAAACUGUACCAACUCUGUUUAGUCUUGUUUCUAAUGAAAAUAUAGGAGCUUGUUUAAGGUAAAUAGUUCCUUAAUAUUCAUGAAAAAGUUCUAGUUCCCCUAGUACUUUGGCAGAUAAAUGUACUUAAGACAAUUCCUCCAUGUUAUAAGUGAAAUAAUCUGCCAAUGGAGCUAGCUCUUUUUCAUCAAUAUUAAAGAUGAAACGGGCGUCAAACUCUUAAAGGCCAGAAUGCAUUGAAAAAACCUGUUCACAAAUUGUUAAAAUAUCAAUGAAUUCUGCAAAUUAAAUGAUAUUACUGAUUAUCUUUUCAGUCCCUCCAGGAUUUCAUGUUUCUUUUUGGGAU